GCGGAGGAAAAGAAAAUAACAAUGAUUCCCCUAGUAACGGCGAGUGAAGAGGGAAAAGCUCAAAGUUGGAACCUGGUGGGCAUAGCUCACCCGGAUUGUAAACUAAAGUUUUUGAGUCGUUUAGUCAGCCAGGUAAAUAAGUCCUCUGGAAAGGGGCGACAUAGAGGGUGAAAUCCCCGUCUUUGGCCUGAGUUUUGGUUAGGCGUUUGGCUUGGAAACGAAGAGUCAGGUUGUUUGGGAAUGCAGCCUAAAAUGGGAGGUAAAUCUCUCCUAAAGCUAAAUAUUGACGAAAGACCGAUAGCGAACAAGUACCGUGAGGGAAAGAUGAAAAGCACUUUGAAAAGAGGGUCAAAAAGUACGUGAAAUUGCUGAAAGGGAACCGUAUGAAAUCAGACCUACUGGUAGGUAAUCAAUCUUUCCCUUGGGAAGGAUGCACUUGCCUGCUAUGUAUGCCAGCGACAUUUUGGUUGGAAGGAAAAAAAUAGAGGAAAUGUAGCCUGGGCUUCGGUUCAGGUGUUAUAGUCCUUUAUAAAAUACUUUCGGCUGGAAUGAGGAACGCAGCAAACCGUAAGGCGAAGAUACUAGGCGCUUGGGGAAAAUAAUGAGAGAAUUUCUGCUUCGGGUGGUGCUUUUAUUAUUUUUUUCAACUCGUUUGGUGUUCUUUUAAUUUGCUUAAGUUGUUGGCUUAAUGAUUUAUAUGAC
rnacentral:rRNA from 1 species